UUUAUGAAUAAGCCACGUGGGCCGGAAGAUCCCUUCCUGUGAUUGGCUGAAAUCUGCUGCAGUCUCAGAACUGACUGAGGCUCUCUGGCUCUGCCUCUCCUUGUCUUUUCAGGGACACACAAUAUCUAUUUACAGAGCAAAGACUGAGCAAGGCAGACAGAAAACAGGCAUGAAAGUAAGACGCAUGUGACCCCAAAAAAAGAAGAGAUGGGGGGAUGUUUCAAGGAUAGAGGAUUCAGCUCAGGUCUCCAGCCUUUGUGUCUGCCAGCCAGCUCUCUGCGUUCCUCUCCAGUGUGUCUCUAUAGUAACGGGUAGGGUUUUUGCAGCAACUCAGAAGACCUGAAAAUAUAAAACAUGGUUAUAUAACAGGCUGCUGGAACAAGACAAGGCUAAAAAAGGACUAGGAGAAGGAGUGGAGUCAAUGCAUUAAAGGUGCCAGAAUCUUGACUCUUGCUAGAAGCGCGUCCACAUUUCAACAUCGUUUUAAUUUAAUCCCGAGGCUUGCAGGAAAACUCCCACCUAGUUCGUUAUGCAAGAAGCGAGAGGAUGAGGAUCAGCAGYAAGAGGCGCAGCAGAUUAGUGGCGUGGAGGAAAGUGACGAUUGCAGUGUCGUGGAAGUGAUUCAAUCACACACACCCCCACCCCCCCCAAGAGUUUCCACUGCACUUUUUAGAGAAACACAAACAGUGGUGGAAGAAACACACUCUGGGACCUGCUGCGCUCUUUUGAAGCGUGGUUGUAGCUUUUAAAGGACCUGGGCAGCUGUCAGCAGUGACCUCAUGUUGUUCCUGUUGGUAUGCAGGACACACACACACACAC